rnacentral:rRNA from 1 species
UACGAAGGGGGCUAGCGUUGCUCGGAAUCACUGGGCGUAAAGCGCACGUAGGCGGAUUCUUAAGUCGGUGGUGAAAUCCUGGAGCUCAACUCCAGAACUGCCUUCGAUACUGGGAGUCUUGAGUCCGGGAGAGGUGAGCGGAACUGCGAGUGUAGAGGUGAAAUUCGUAGAUAUCAGGAGGAACACCGGUGGCGAAGGCGGGUCUCUGGGCAGUAACUGACGCUGAGGAGCGAAAGCGUGGGGAGCGAACAGG